UUCAUCGAACAUCUCAUGUGCAUGAACUAGAUGGACAAGAGCAUGACAUGGUCACACCUCAACACCCAAAAAACAAAGAGAGGAUGGGCAGAUGCGAGGAUUUAUAUAAGCAACACUUUAGUCCCAGUUUUUAUCUAAAACCAUGACUAACAACCUACCAUUUAGUCCCGGUUCAUGUCAUAAACCAGGACUAGUGCUCCGCGGCACGCCAUGUGACAGUUGCUCAAUCUUUAAUCCCGAAUUUUACCCCGAACCGGAACUAGUGAGGUGAACCGAACCGGAACCAAUGCCCCGGCAAACUGAACCGGAACCAAUGCUUUUAUUGGUCCCGGUUUUCAUUUGAACUUUUUUCUACUAAGUGC
rnacentral:lncRNA from 1 species